rnacentral:lncRNA from 1 species
AGAUGAAUUCGAAGAGGAAUCGAGUUUGGCAGGUGUGUGUCAAUGUUCUAGACUUCAAGCAUUUGUAAUGUGUUUAUUUUGCUUGAAUGGCAGGUUCUCACACUUUAUUAUUUAUUUUGCACAUUUAGGUGAUGAGAAUUGCUGCUCUGUCUGGAAGUUUUCUUGCUCACAAGAAUCUUGAAACAACAUUAAACCCUAAGCUGUGGUGGGACAGGUGAACAUUUUGGACAGCAGAUGCUGGAAGUGCAUGGUGUAAUGAGAUCGGGCUAUAGCCGUGGGUGAGCAAGAACUGGAUGCAGACCACUAAAAUGCACACUGUACCGAUGAGUUAUCAGAGAAUUCGCCGGCUUAUCCUGUUCCAGGCACACAACUUUGCCGGGCUGGGUAACAAGCUGGUGAACCAUGAUAGUACCGAUGGGAUGCAGUUUUUUUUUAUUAUGGCAUGUACUGAUGGGAUUUGCGUGUAUAAACACCUUGUAUGUUGGUCGAUUAGGCCCCCAUUCAAUGCAAAGUCUUAUUUACCAAUGUCCUGUCAUUUG